AACAAAGAGAGAGGAAUUACAGUCAGCUCUGUGUGCCACCAAGACAAGCCUGCGGGGUAGGGGUGGAGAAAAACAAAGCGUUCAUUUUGCCACUUCCUGCACAACAAAGCCAUGCGCUCACACCACGCAGGCACCUUCCUUGUGCCCUCAUGGCAAUGCUGAGGCUCCAGGCCUCCCCAGGGCACAUCCCCACCAUAAACCACGGCCCCAGCCCUGCAGGCGGAUCCCACAGCCCCCCAGGAGCUGAGCACGGCCCCAUCCCGCAGCUCACAGCCCCCAGCUCAACCUGCAGGCCUAGCCACAGCCGACGGCCUCAGCUCCGCUCCCCGUGUUUGUUUACAUCUUUUUCCAUUGCCUUUUGGAGCGAAGGCUGCUCCAGAGACACGGCCUUGCCAACAGGAUGAGAUAGCUGUCAUAGCUGGGAGCUGACGUGGCAGGGAGAAAUCAGGCAGGAUUUUGUUUGGAAGGGAUGGGAAGGGCUAGUUGGGUCUUUCAACCUCCCAUUACUCAGUAGUUCAUUGCUCUCUUGACUUAGAGCAAUUUGAGGGAAAAAUAUGUGAGCAAAGAGGUUCAGUGCAUUUGCCAGAUUGUUGCUGUUUGUCUCCCAGGGACACGAGCAGAACCCUGCCCAUCUCCCAUGUUCCACUGCUGCCUGCCCCUCUCUCUCCCCGCCUGCCCCACAGGGCUGCAUCCACCAGGCACUAAACAUGGCACAAUGCACUUGAAAACUUUGCAGUGUGUACCAUUAACUAUAGCAUCAGCACUUCACUAACAAAGGCAAAAGUUACCUCCUGCCACUGCAUCUGCAUGGAGAUCUCCACCAUCAUCCAAAUGCAGCUCAGACCUCUGUGGUUUUGCUCACCCACAUGAGCAAUCCUUUCCUGCUGGAGCCUGGAGCCUUGGGAAUCACCUGCCCAAAGACGGGAAGUCUCUGAGUUCAACCCUCAGGUUCAAUCAGUAGAGGAGACCUGAUGAGAAGCCCUCCGGUGCCACCAGGCUCAGCUCUUGGCUCUGAGCAGUCUCAGGAAUCCCAAAACUUCCAGCAGCCCAAUUCAAAUCAGCUGCUAAUACAGCAUCCAGGUGACACGGGUGCUUAUGUUGCAAAUGCCCAACAAACAGUUUCACAGCUCUUUGCGCCUGGCAUUUCCUGAAGCUCCCUCUCCGGAGCCUCCAGCUCGAGGAACGUAUUUUGAAUCUGGGAGGAAAGCAGAGGGCUCGGUGAGAGCCAAGCCUGGUGGGCACAACGCUGGGAUCCCUGCCCCAGGGCACAGGCACUGCAUGCACCACUGGCACAGCUGGAUGUGCCAGAGGGAGAGUUGCUCCAUGGGGAAGGGCAGAGCAUGACAGACCCCUCACUGGGUCAGCGUGGGCUGUAGUGCAUUUCUAUUGGGUUUCAUUCUGGUUCACAGGCUAGCAAUGAGAAUAUUAGGGAAAUACUACCUCUGAAACAGCAUGAAUGUCUGUGCUUACGCAGGCACAGCAGGCAGCAAGCCAGCCACUGGGAAUAUGGAAAAUAUAUGAAAUUUUAAAAUAUGCAUUUUCAACAAGGGCAGAGAUGCCAAAUAAUAAUUACGGGUGUGGUUAUAUAGUCUGAACAUCCAAAAAAACCCUAAUGGGCUCAUUUCAGCCCAGAAAUCCUGACUUAAAUAAAUCCAACUCCCAAUCCCAUAGCUCAUACACCACACGUACAAAUCUUCCUUCCAGGAGCAGGGCCAGCUUAAAAAAAGUUUCACCAUCACGCCAGGUGGGAACACAGGCUUGGUGUCAGCAGCAUGUAGCCUUUUCUGCAUGCAAGCACUUGGGCUGGGGGCUGCAGGAGGCUGGGGGACUGUGCCGGUACCUAUGUGGCUGGGAGCAGGCAGACAAGCACUCCAGGCACUGACCCCAGCAUGGGCACCUCACUGUUCUGGCUGCAAAGAAGGAGGAGCUUGGAGGACUGAAAAAAACAACAGAAGUCCUGCUGGCAAAAAGCCCAUACGACAAGGAGGUGUACCCAAGGGCUGUGACUUACUGGUUAAUGCUUUGCUUGGGACUGUUGUUACAUUCCUUGAUUCACAGGCAGACAAUACCUUUGUCUACGUGUCUCCAAGGCAGGGCUGAAUCCAUGACCUCGCUAUCAGCAGUGCUGAUCUCGAGCUGCCCUUUGCCUCUCCACUCUGUGCCAAGCUGAUGUCUGCUCUGUGCUCAGCUGCCCUCAGCUGAUGGGUGAGGCUGGGGACAGGGCUUGCUGCUGAGCCUCAGCAGCCUCACACAGCCCAAACACAGUCCUGUGUAUCUGUGAAUCACACUGCAGCUCGAUGUAGGCAUUCUACAAGCAGCUCCUUCAAAGUAUCUGUGCUGGGUGUGCAGCCCCCUGCCCAGUGUCCUACAGCCAGCUGCAGGGUUUCCAGAGAACAGCCUGGGACAAACAUACUGUUUGUAACGACUUUCUCCAUGCAAGAAAGCCAGGGACUUCCUCGCUGCCUGCUCAGCCUGUCCGCUGUGGAGGGGAAGUGGCAGCAGCACCAGCCCUCCCUCUGCUCCAAAGCAGUUUGUAUAUAAAACGAAAAUGCCCCAAGUGCAUUUAUAAGCCCAAAGGCAGCUGCAAUUACAUCUCACAAGCACGUGCAGAUAUUCACUGUUAGCUCCUGUCACUGAAAAACACAGCAGACCUUCCCACGCAGCCAGAGCCCAGCAGUCCUCGCUGACAGCUCAGCCAAGGGACCCGCCUGCUCUGCAGUCCAAUGGGACAUGCGAGGGACAUGCACAGCAUGGAUUUGGGCACCUAGGUUAUAGACACAACAAACUGAAGUCUGAGUGCUACGCUCAGCAAUUACGGUGUUCCCCAGGAGAAUAAAUAUAUGUACAUUUGUUGAAACCACUUAUGACUUAAAUUACACACACUUAAAGAUGCUGCUGUCCUCCUGGGGUCAGCAGAGCUUGCUCCUCUCGCCCAGGCAGGCCUGGCUCUGCCCUGGGUGCAUGAACUCCAGGAACUUUCAACACUGUGAGAAAAAGAAUUAAAAAAAAACAACAACAAAAACAAACCCAAAUCUUAUCUCAAAAGGUAUUUCACCAAACACUGGAUAGUCGCCUGGGGUGGAACAGCUGAUGUCCCUGAACUUAUGCUGAAGUUUCUAACUGAAGCCCAAUUAAGAGCACACACCCUCAGCUCAGCCAACUUG